rnacentral:rRNA from 1 species
UACAGAGGUCCCAAGCGUUGUUCGGAUUCACUGGGCGUAAAGGGUGCGUAGGCGGUCAGGUAAGUCUGAUGUGAAAUCUCACAGCUUAACUGUGAAACUGCAUUGGAUACUAUCCGGCUAGAGGAAUGGAGGGGAGACUGGAAUACUUGGUGUAGCAGUGAAAUGCGUAGAUAUCAAGUGGAACACCAGUGGCGAAGGCGAGUCUCUGGACAUUUCCUGACGCUGAGGCACGAAAGCCAGGGGAGCAAACGGG